rnacentral:rRNA from 1 species
CCUACGGGGAGCAGCAGUGGGGGAUAUUGCACAAUGGGGGGAACCCUGAUGCAGCGACGCCGCGUGGGUGAAGGAGCGUUUCGGCGCGUAAAGCCCUAUCGGCAGGGAAGAAGGAGGACGGUACCUGACUAAGAAGCCCCGGCUAACUACGUGCCAGCCGACGCGGUAGUAAGUAGGGGGCAUGCGUUAUCCGGAUUUACUGGGUUGAAAGGGGGGGCUGACGGCAGCGCAAGCCAGUAGUGAAAGCCCGGGGCCCAACCCUGGUACUGGUUUUGGAACUGCGCGGCUGGAGUGCAGGAGGGGCAGGCGGAAGUCCUGGUGUAGCGGUGAAAUGCGUAGAUAUCAGGAGGAACACCGGUGGCGAAGGCGGCCUGCUGGACUGCGACUGACGUUGAGGCUCGAAAGCGUGGGGAGCAAACAGGAUUAGAUACCCGAGUAGUC